rnacentral:rRNA from 1 species
UACCAGCACCCCGAGUGGUCGGGACGUUUAUUGGGCCUAAAGCAUCCGUAGCCGGUUCUACGAGUCUUCCGUUAAAUCCAACUGCUUAACAGGUGGGCUGCGGAAGAUACUAUAGAGCUAGGAGGCGGGAGAGGCAAGCGGUACUCGAUGGGUAGGGGUAAAAUCCGUUGAUCCACUGAAGACCACCAGUGGCGAAGGCGGCUUGCCAGAAUGCGCUCGACGGUGAGGGAUGAAAGCUGGGGGAGCAAACCGG